GACUCGGUGGCGGAAGGCCCGCGUCUGCCUAAUAUACAUCAAUUUCCAAAUCGAGGUCAAUGCAGAACCCUUGCCUGUUUGACUCAGGCCCGAGUCA